AAUAUUUGUGUAAAUAAAAGAAACUUCUAAUUUCCUAUAAAGCGGUUAAAUUCCGUUUAUAUUCUA
rnacentral:tRNA from 1 species